AGGUAGGGCCUUGAGGCCAGGAAGCCAGCACCUCCGGGGCUCCCCUGGAGGGCAUCUCCCUAACGGGGAGCUCUAGAGACGGGAGGAGGAUUGGGUGGGGAGGAUGGGGCCAUGGCUUGGGAAGGGCACUAGCGCCUCUGGGCCUUCACGGCCAACAUCCCAACAAGAGGCAGAGUCCAGGGGGAGUCCCAUUCUGUUUGGCCAUCUGUCAGGAGAGGGAUCCACUUCCCGGGGUGCCAGGGUAGGGGGUUCCCGGGAGGCAGACCUUUCAGAACUAAUGCCAGGAAGGUCCUGGGCAGACAGGGGGAGUGGUGGUCCCCUCAUCCUGGAGGCAGGCCGUGUCUCUGCCACCUUUUUGGUGGCAAGUCACUUUCUCUUGGGUCCAAGUGGAAUGGCUCUCUCAGACCCUGGGGUUUUGCAGGAACCUGGGCACCAGAGCCCCUCCCGUGUUAGGGCUGCUGAAGGAGGAACUCAUGAGGCCAAGUCGGUAAAGCCAGAGAGAUUCUUUUUUUUCUUGUUUUGAGGGCAGCAUGUGGGGCAUAUGGAAACUUCCAGGGGAGGGGUUGAAUCGGAGCUGCCGCUGCCAGCCUACCGCACAGCCACAGCCGUGCCAGAUCCGAGCCGCCUCUGCGACGGACACUACAGCUCACGGCAACCCUGGAUCCUUAACCCACUGAGCGAGGCCAGGGAUCGAACAUGCCUCCUCGUGGACACUAGUUAGAUUCCUAAGCUGCUGAGCCACAAGGGGAACUCCCUGAGAGAUGCAUUCAUGCAUCUGACAGGGAUGGGCUGAGCCCAGGACAGCAUCAGCACCGACCGUGAGGAGAAGCUAGUCUUACAAAGGGUCCUGGUGGGAGUCUGAGAGGAGGGUCUGUGGUGGGACCUUGGGACAAGGACAAGGACAGGCAGGUUACCCAGUGUGGGGAAGGGGUCGGGGGGCGCGUCCCACGACUGAGUGUUUGUGGCGGGGAAAAUGAUAGGGAAGGGAAAAGUUAGCACAAUGAGGAAGGAUGGUUGGGACCUGAGGCUCACGACCAGGUAAGUGCAGUAACAGGAACCGAGUUAGGGGCCAGUUCAUCUUUACAGGUGGUCAAUCUUUGCAGGCACUUGUUUGCUGUAGACAAUUGUCUCUCUCUGUCCAGCUUCAAACGGCUGCAUUCCCAGGGCGCGGGCUUCCUCCAUUCUCCCGGGCACCCAUCACUGCCACACCAUCAAGAUUCCACCAGCGGCUUCCAAGUGCCAGGGGACCUGCGCCCACCUUUUCUGCCCCCCAGAGCUGGACAGCAGACCUGCUCACGGUCAUGUUCAGCCCUCAACAUCAGGGGACCAGCGACCUGGACCCUGAUUCUACAGGUAACUGGUCUUCCCAAGGGGCCAGGCGUCUUAGUGGAUGUGGGAAGAGACAGAAGCCAGAGAGACCUGCCCAAGGUGACUAGCCAGCCCCCUCCAGAUGAAGAAGCACAAUCUCGCCAGCACCCCCAGAAACCCACCACCACGCCACGCCUCCCUUCUGGCCUUGAAGAAAAGCAGAAAGUCGCAAACGCUCUUUCCUCCAGGAAGCUUCUCGCAUCCCCAGUAGCAGCCUCCCAGGAUCCCCAUGUUGGGGAAAAGUGACUCUGGCUCGGAUCGGCAGUGUCAGAAAGGGAGACACGCGGACACGGGGAGAUCGAGGCAAGGCUCUUUAUCUCUGCAGAAGGGCGAGAGUGCCCACAAAGCGCGCCAAAGCGGGAAGCCCCCUCCCAUUUAUCCCUAAGGCAGGUGGCAUCCCUGUCCCCUUCCCAUGGGUCGGGUCAGGGCGCACAUUCUUCUCGGCUGGCUCAUUUGAAACAAAUUUUUCCUGGGAGAAGAGGGAGGAGGAGGGGGUCUCAGACGAAGCAGGAAGAAAUGGAGUCAGCAAGGCUUCCUCUGAUGGAAAAGGCAUAUGUUCAUUCUCACACCCAGAACCCGUUUCCUCACCUUUAUCAACCCCGCUGGCGGUGACCCAAGAGACUGUCUCCCGCAGCCCCCGCACAGAGCAGGGACCACCCAUUUUCUUCAGACCUGGUUGGAGGCAAGCGCUCUUGCCCAGGGCAGGGAGGGCAGAGAUUUGGCGGCCCUGGCCGUGCCCAGCACCCCCACUCCAGGGACCAGGAUGGCCCGGUGGGGAGAGAAGUCCUAGAAACUGUUCGGGGGCUGCAGGGAGCCUCAGAACCCAGCUUGGCCCAGACCUGAGGCCCGGUCACUCCAGCAGGUGCACGGUCCCCCAGGAAGCCUCUCUCAGCCGCAGCCUCACUGAGGUCAGUGACUGGGGAGGCCCAGAGACCUAUCUCCCUCUUGUGCGUCAGCCUCGUCUCCUGGUCCAGGGCCUGCAGCUCCUGUGAGGACCUGGAGCACCUGACCAGCGGGGGAGAGGCGGGGGCCGCCAGUCACCCAGCUGGCCCAAACCUGCACCUGCUAUGGCCCCUUGCUUCACACCCACCAG
rnacentral:lncRNA from 1 species